rnacentral:ncRNA from 1 species
UGAUCAACUACGGGGAGCCUAACGGCUGAGAGGAUUGAAAAAUCGACCCGAGAACCUGAUCUGGGUUAUACCAGCGGAGGGAUAGAUGAUAAAAAAGCA